rnacentral:rRNA from 1 species
GAGUUUGAUCGUGGCUCAGAGCGAACGCUGGCGGCAGGCCUAACACAUGCAAGUCGAGCGGCCGUAGCAAUACGGCAGCGGCAGACGGGAGAGUAACACGUGGGAACGCGCCCUUCGGUUCGGGAUAACCCAGGGAAACUUGGGCUAAUACCGGAUACGCCCUUACGGGGAAAGAUUUAUUGCCGAAGGAACGGCCCGCGUCCGAUUAGCUAGUUGGUGAGGUAAUGGCUCACCAAGGCGACGAUCGGUAGCUGGUCUGAGAGGAUGACCAGCCUCACUGGGACUGAGACACGGCCCAGACUCCUACGGGAGGCAGCAGUGGGGAAUAUUGGACAAUGGGCGCAAGCCUGAUCCAGCCAUGCCGCGUGGGUGAUGAAGGCCCUAGGGUUGUAAAGCCCUUUCAGCGGGGAAGAUAAUGACGGUACCCGCAGAAGAAGCCCCGGCUAACUUCGUGCCAGCAGCCGCCGUAAG